GGUGAAGAACGCAGCGAAAUGCGAUAAGUAAUGUGAAUUGCAGAAUUCAGUGAAUCAUCGAAUCUUUGAACGCACAUUGCGCCCGCCAGUAUUCUGGCGGGCAUGCCUGUUCGAGCGUCAUUUCAACCAUCAAGCCCUGCUUGCGUUGGGGUCCUGCGGCUGCCCGCAGGCCCUGAAAACCAGUGGCGGGCUCGCUAGUCACACCGAGCGCAGUAAUACAUCUCGCUUUGGGCGUGCGGCGGGUUCUUGCCGUUAAACACCCCCUUUUUACCAAGGUUGACCUCGGAUCAGGUAGGAAUACCCGCUGAACUUAAGCAUAUCAAUAAGCGGAGGA
rnacentral:misc_RNA from 1 species